rnacentral:rRNA from 1 species
AUUGAACGCUGGCGGCAUGCUUUACACAUGCAAGUCGAACGGUAACAGGCCGCAAGGUGCUGACGAGUGGCGAACGGGUGAGUAAUGCAUCGGAACGUGCCCAGUCGUGGGGGAUAACGCAGCGAAAGCUGCGCUAAUACCGCAUACGAUCUCUGGAUGAAAGCGGGGGACCGAAAGGCCUCGCGCGAUUGGAGCGGCCGAUGUCAGAUUAGGUAGUUGGUGGGGUAAAGGCACACCAAGCCAACGAUCUGUCGCUGGUCUGAGAGGACGACCAGCCACACUGGGACUGAGACACGGCCCAGACUCCUACGGGAGGCAGCAGUGGGGAAUUUUGGACAAUGGGCGCAAGCCUGAUCCAGCAAUGCCGCGUGCAGGAAGAAGGCCUUCGGGUUGUAAACUGCUUUUGUACGGAACGAAACGGUCCGGGUUAAUACCCUGGGCUAAUGACGGUACCGUAAGAAUAAGCACCGGCUAACUACGUGCCAGCAGCCGCAGUAACAC